GAAAGCACUAGCUGUUGCAAUAGAUGCAAGGAAAAGGGCAGAUGACAACUUCAUUUUAUUUUGUUGAUAAGUAUUUUAUGGUUCUGAUGUGAGAAAGGAGAAGAAAACGAUGAUGUGUUGUUUUUUGAUACGUCG
rnacentral:ribozyme from 14 species